AAAAAGGUAAGCUAAAUAAGCUAUUGGGUUCAUACCCCACUUAUAAAGGCCCCUCCUCCUUUCCUUUUUA
rnacentral:tRNA from 1 species